GUAGUUGUAGCUGAGUGGUUAAAGCAGUGGAUUAAAAAUCAGUUUGGGUCUCUCUAUGUAGGUUCAAAUCCUGCCAACUACA